rnacentral:rRNA from 1 species
AGUCGAGGGGUAACAGGGAGCUUGCUCCGCUGACGACCGGCGCACGGGUGCGUAACGCGUAUAGAACCUACCUUUUACAGAGGGAUAGCCUUUAGAAAUGAAGAUUAAUACCUUAUGGUAUUGUAGACUGGCAUCAGUUUAUAAUUAAAGAUUUAUCGGUAAAAGAUGGCUAUGCGUCCUAUUAGUUAGUUGGUAAGGUAACGGCUUACCAAGACAGCGAUAGGUAGGGGUCCUGAGAGGGAGAUCCCCCACACUGGUACUGAGACACGGACCAGACUCCUACGGGAGGCAGCAGUGAGGAAUAUUGGACAAUGGAGGAGACUCUGAUCCAGCCAUGCCGCGUGUAGGAAGAAUGCCCUAUGGGUUGUAAACUACUUUUAUACAGGAAGAAACACUGGUAUGUAUACCAGCUUGACGGUACUGUAAGAAUAAGGACCGG